AGAUUGUACUAGGUUGGUGCAAAAGUAAUUCAGGUUUUUGCAAUAAAGGUAAAGGCAAAAACUGCAAUCACUUUUGCACCAACCUAAUAAAUCU
rnacentral:miRNA from 1 species